CUGUCUCUGGGGCAGCCUGGACUUCCCGUUGGGCCUCCCCCUCUAGGGAAUUUAUCACAAACUGCAGUUUCUGGGGGGCGCUCAAUCCUUGAAUCCCAGCCAGAUAUUCGACCUGGGCUUUCCAUUCCGACAGCCGUAUCUCAGAUCCCAGCCCUCCAUACUUCGGUGCCCAGGGGGCUCCCAAGAAAAUGGGCAUGACUCGGGGUGGGGCCUCAGGCACUGCCUCGUCCGCCAUUGGGGAGCCGCGGUCGCUCAACUCGAGGUGGAACCCUGCCGACUACGCCAAAAUCUGUCACAGGCCGGAGCGGACCACCAAUUCAACGGGUCUCGCUCCUCCCUCUAACUUCCACCUCGAGGAGGUCCCACAACACCCCAAUGAAUGGACGGACAACCAAGAUUAAAAUGUAACAAUUUUAUUCGUUUAAAAGUUUGGGGAAAGGGGUAAGGAAACUUUAAAACUAAUGAUGACUCGAACUAUUCUUUAUCCACAAAUACGGAUUCCAGUCUCAGGAACACUCCUCUUCAGCCCUUCCUCGACAACACUCCACUUCAGCCCUUAAUUUCCCGCCGACUCCACUCCAGGUAAGUUUAAAGCAAGAGCUAGGCAGUUGACGUGCAGGGGUUCUAGCUCUCAGGUAAAUACAGUGUUCGAUACACAGGUGGGUAUUCACAGGGCUGGGCUGUUAGCGUGCAGGGGUUCUAGCUCUCAAUGUAAGUACAGUGUUCCAUACACAGGUGAGUAUUCACGGGGCUGGGCUGUUAAUGCGCUACUCACCACUGAAGAUAUUCAGAGGUCUGUAUUCCAAGCAGAUACGGGUUUAGUCGAUGACUGACGGCUGGUGGGCCUUACAGGUGAAACUGCAAACAAUACUGGGCUUCCCGCCCAGCUUG